AGUGAACGCUGGCGGUAGGCCUAACACAUGCAAGUCGAACGGCAGCACAGUAAGAGCUUGCUCUUACGGGUGGCGAGUGGCGGACGGGUGAGGAAUACAUCGGAAUCUACUUUUUCGUGGGGGACAACGUAGGGAAACUUACGCUAAUACCGCAUACGACCUACGGGUGAAAGCAAGGGAUCUUCGGACCUUGCGCGAUUGAAUGAGCCGAUGUCGGAUUAGCUAGUUGGCGGGGUAAAGGCCCACCAAGGCGACGAUCCGUAGCUGGUCUGAGAGGAUGAUCAGCCACACUGGAACUGAGACACGGUCCAGACUCCUACGGGAGGCAGCAGUGGGGAAUAUUGGACAAUGGGCGCAAGCCUGAUCCAGCCAUACCGCGUGGGUGAAGAAGGCCUUCGGGUUGUAAAGCCCUUUUGUUGGGAAAGAAAAGCAGCAGGUUAAUACCCCGCUGUUCUGACGGUACCCAAAGAAUAAGCACCGGCUAACUUCGUG
rnacentral:rRNA from 1 species